rnacentral:rRNA from 1 species
UACGAAGGGGGCUAGCGUUGCUCGGAAUCACUGGGCGUAAAGGGCGCGUAGGCGGCGUUUUAAGUCGGGGGUGAAAGCCUGUGGCUCAACCACAGAAUGGCCUUCGAUACUGGGACGCUUGAGUAUGGUAGAGGUUGGUGGAACUGCGAGUGUAGAGGUGAAAUUCGUAGAUAUUCGCAAGAACACCGGUGGCGAAGGCGGCCAACUGGACCAUUACUGACGCUGAGGCGCGAAAGCGUGGGGAGCGAUCCGG